rnacentral:rRNA from 1 species
GACGAACGCUGGCGGCGUGCUUAACACAUGCAAGUCGAACGGAAAGGCCCUGCUUUUGUGAGGUGCUCGAGUGGCGAACGGGUGAGUAACACGUGAGUAACCUGCCCUUGACUUUGGGAUAACUUCAGGAAACUGGGGCUAAUACCGGAUAGGAGCUCCUGCUGCAUGGUGGGGGUUGGAAAGUUUCGGCGGUUGGGGAUGGACUCGCGGCUUAGCAGCUUGUUGGUGGGGUAGUGGCUUACCAAGGCUUUGACGGGUAGCCGGCCUGAGAGGGUGACCGGCCACAUUGGGACUGAGAUACGGCCCAGACUCCAACGGGAGGCAGCAGUGGGGAAUAUUGCACAAUGGGCGGAAGCCUGAUGCAGCAACGCCGCGUGCGGGAUGACGGCCUUCGGGUUGUAAACCGCUUUCGCCUGUGACGAAGCGUGAGUGACGGUAAUGGGUAAAGAAGCACCGGCUAACUACGUG